ACGAGCACAGGAGAAUGGACAUCUGCUUUCGGAAAAUCAGAGCCAGCCGUAGCCUACCAGGGUUCACUCGGAGACACAUAGGCGCUACCGGAGCAAUGACUAACUUUGCCUCUUAAUGGGGUCGGGACCUCCUCUUUGCUCGGAGCUGUCUGCAAGUCAUUCAAGCAAUUAGGUAAACUCUAGGUUGCUGUCCAUAGAGGACCGGUUGGCUGCUCUGGAGUCGAAAAACUGUGCGGGAGAGACAAACUUUAAGAAGUGAAGACUGGUGCACAAUCCCAAGCUUGCGGAAGCAGUACGCCGUCUUCACAACUCUGAGACAAAUUGCAGGCGCUACGAACCGGAGCAAGGACUAAUCUCGCCUCAUAAUGAGGCGGUGACCUCCUAUUUGCUCGGAGCAAUAUCUGGAAGUCCAGAUUUACACGAUGUUGAUAAAGAUGACAUUGUGUCCGCCUGUAAGACAUAUUACGAGACGGUACGCAGGAGCUUUAGAUAUACCCAGCCAGAAAACUCAUUGCGGGCGGAAGCUGUGAAGAGUUCAGCUCGGAGUCGAGCGAGAAGAAAGAGGCUGCUGGAAUCGAGACAGAGUGUGCUAGCAGAUGACGAGGUGGAACUCUG